rnacentral:rRNA from 1 species
UGCCAGCCGCCGCGGUAAUACGGGAGUGGCAAGCGUUAUCCGGAAUUAUUGGGUUUAAAGGGUCCGCAGGCUGUUUGUUAAGUCAGGGGUGAAAUCCUACCGCUCAACGGUAGAACUGCCUUUAAAACUGGCAAACUUGAGUUAUUGUGAAGUAAUUAGAAUGUGUAGUGUAGCGGUGAAAUGCAUAGAUAUUACACAGAAUACCGAUUGCGAAAGCAGAUUACUAACAAUUAACUGACGCUGAGGGACGAAAGCGUGGGUAGCGAACAGGAUUAGAUA